GUCCCCAUAUAGACACUGGAAGUUUUUGUGUGCAGGAGAGCAAGACUGCAAUGCUUUAGCUGGAAGGUUAUUGUAUCAUCCACUUGUUGAAUUGCCAUGGAUCAACAGUUUCUCAAUUAGAAGAAGACAAACGAGAAGAUAAAGUAUUUGGUAACUGUAAAGUUUUAAGUAGGAGCUCAGGAAGAUUUUGAGAACAUCUGGUCAGAAUGUAUUUCUUUUUAGAGCCUUGCCUGCCUUCGUUAUUUCACCGUCCAUUAGCAUCUCACUAGAAGAGGGAAGAAAAGAAGAGGAGGUGAAAUUAAGCAAUCAACUUUGUUACUUGUUAACAAAAGGUGGCAAAGAGUUUAAGUACCAGUUACAAAGAAACAACAACAGUUUUCUUCUCAAUCCCUUCUGUAAAAGCCCAGUUGGGCCGGGCGCGGUGGCACAUGCCUGUAAUACCAGCACUUUGGGAGCC